rnacentral:lncRNA from 1 species
AUAUACCAUAAAUUUAUAUAGAUGUCCUUCGACUGCUCGCCGAAAUCCUUUUUACUCCAGUCGGUAGGUCUCUAGAUGUUACAGAGAACCUUGAACAAUCCAAACUACUAAUCUUUGAUACCGCUUUAUACUCACGAUCUUGUAUCCACUGACUUUCUCGUUAGAUUAAUCCAAUAAAUUUCAUUCACUCUGCAUUCUCAAUCCUAUAGACACCCUUUUAAUUCUUCAUCACAGACGUAACUCGACACCCUUUUAAUUCUUCAUCACAGACGUAACUCGAUUUCACAAAACAGUCAAGAGUAAUCACACCCACUUCAUUAAAAUCCCGAUUCACUAGUACAACACUGGCUUUAGCAACAAUUGCCUCAGUCUUUCCAAAACUCUAUGAAGAAAAAAAAUCCAAUUCUCU